rfam:Loxodonta africana unplaced genomic scaffold scaffold_391, whole genome shotgun sequence.
GCCUUGGUGGCACAAUGGUGAAGUGCUCAGCUGCUAACUGAAGGGCAGUGGUUUGAACCCACCCAGAAGCU